UACGGGGGGAGCUAGCGUUGUUCGGAAUUACUGGGCGUAAAGCGCACGUAGGCGGCUUUACAAGUCAGGGGUGAAAGCCCGGAGCUCAACUCCGGAAUUGCCCUUGAGACUGUAUCGCUUGAACACGGGAGAGGUGAGUGGAAUUCCGAGUGUAGAGGUGAAAUUCGUAGAUAUUCGGAAGAACACCAGUGGCGAAGGCGGCUCACUGGACCGUUGUUGACGCUGAGGUGCGAAAGCGUGGGGAGCAAACAGG
rnacentral:rRNA from 1 species